UGAAUAAUAUUUAUAAGUUAUUGUAGAAUAUCGAUAUAUAUAAAAGAUAACCAUUUAAUUACACUUGAAAUGUGGAUGUUUUUGUUUAACAUACAUGAAAUAGCUGCUAAGAUUCGUGCUAAUGAGUUGGUGAGAAGGAGAACAGAAUUCUUGCGCAUAAUCUCAUUUCCUCUCCACAUCAAAUCUGAUCCUUGAUGCUCCGUGUUUUUCUCUCUCGGGUCAUUCCAUAGUUAGCUUGCAAAGAGAAACAGAGGAAGUUUUGCAUAUACAGCCUGAGAAAACCAACAAAACCAAUGUGAGAAACAGAGCAAGUUUUGCAAAGAGAAAUGACCAACAAUGGAAUUUCCCGCCAUAUAAAUUCAUGCU
rnacentral:lncRNA from 1 species